rnacentral:rRNA from 1 species
CAAUAGCGUAUAUUUAAGUUGCUGCAGUUAAAAAGCUCGUAGUUGGAUUUCGGGUGGGAAUGGCCGGUCCGCCGUUUCGGUGUGCACUUGCUACGCCCACCUUGCUGCCGGGGACGUGCUCUUGAGUUCACGCUCGGGACACGGAGUCGGCGAGGCUACUUUGAGUAAAUUAGAGUGUUCAAAGCAGGCCUACGCUCUGAAUACAUUAGCAUGGAAUAACACGAUAGGACUCUGGCCUAUCUUGUUGGUCUGUAGGACCGGAGUAAUGAUUAAGAGGGACAGUCGGGGGCAUUCGUAUUUCAUUGUCAGAGGUGAAAUUCUUGGAUUUAUGAAAGACGAACUACUGCGAAAGCAUUUGCCAAGGAUGUUUUCAUUAA